UUUCAACUGCGACUUUUUGUGUGUC
rnacentral:piRNA from 1 species